GUCAACAGUUCCAUAUGUUUUUUAGGAACUUAUUUUUCUGGCAACAGAAGGCGUUCCAAACGAGAAUUGGAUAGUACAAAUUUAAAGUUCACACUGCUAAAUACGAAAUUUCGAAUUAAAACAUUGCAGCCAAGCAUGAACCUAGUCACAAAUUUCAAGUUACUACGCAUGGCCCGGCUGCACAUACGUAAUCUUCGGGAGCUAUCUACGCUGAUGCGAAUUCCGUCGGCCCGAUCAGUCAUUGGGCGGCAGAAUUUCAUCCUGGAGCCGUUGGCCGGUCGAGAACUAAUACGCGUCCACGGGUCUGAAGUGAUCCCAUUCCUGCAAGGUCUAGUGACGAACGAUGUAUCACGAUUGGAGUCAUCCAACGGUCCUUCCUCGAUGUACGGCCUUUUUCUAAACAAAAGUGGCCGCGUUCUGUACGAUACAAUUAUCUAUCGAACAAAUAACCGCGACACAUUUUUGGUUGAAUGUGAUCGUGAGGCUUCAGCGGAAUUUCGGCGCCAUCUGCGUACCUACCGGGUUCGCAAGAGCAUCGACAUCGACAGUGUGGACGACGAGUACAGCACUUGGGUAAUGUUCAGUCCGAAAUCAGAACCCGUGCCCACCAGCCCUAAUCCCGAUUUAUUUGUGUCCCCCGAUGCGAGACUUUCUUCUUUGGGCACCCGCAUCCUGGCACCAACAGACAUGAACUGGAGUCAGCUAGUCAAAGGCUACUGGCGCAACAACGAAUUCUCAGCGUCACCCGCUUCUGAAGAGUGCAACUAUCAAUUGCUUCGCUAUGAACAAGGCGUAGGGGAGGGUAGUCUGGAGCUACCGCCCGGCAAAUGCUUUCCCCUAGAGGCAAAUGCCGAUUAUCUGCACGGCGUGAGUUUUCAGAAGGGCUGCUACGUGGGCCAGGAGCUAACCGCUCGUAUCCAUCAUUCGGGUGUGAUUCGCAAGCGCUACAUGCCGAUCCGACUUACAGCUCCCAUUGGAUCUAAUAAGGAUGUUACUUCCGUGGCAGGAGCGAAACUAGGACGUGUCUGCGGGUCUGCUCAUAACCGUGGAGUGGCCUUACUGCGCAUCGAACAGGUGCUCAAUGGCCGCCAAGAGCUUAUGGUCGACGGCGAGCGCUGUUACGCUGACCGACCGCAGUGGUGGCCAGAAGACAUGCCGGGCAAGCGUCGUAUGGCUUUCGCGGAAUGAGUCCCGAGCUGAUUUUACCCACCAAUUGUUGAAUUUUAUCGUUGCGUGACUGUAGAAACUUUAGUAUACAAUCAUGUAAAAUGGAAGCUGGCAAGAAUACUGAAUUGAACGACAAUGCGGUAAAUGUACCUUGUUUGGAGCCAAA